GCAGCUACCAUGCAAGUCGAGCGGAGAUGAGGUGCUUGCACCUUAUCUUAGCGGCGGACGGGUGAGUAAUGCUUAGGAAUCUGCCUAUUAGUGGGGGACAACAUUCCGAAAGGGAUGCUAAUACCGCAUACGUCCUACGGGAGAAAGCAGGGGAUCUUCGGACCUUGCGCUAAUAGAUGAGCCUAAGUCGGAUUAGCUAGUUGGUGGGGUAAAGGCCUACCAAGGCGACGAUCUGUAGCGGGUCUGAGAGGAUGAUCCGCCACACUGGGACUGAGACACGGCCCAGACUCCUACGGGAGGCAGCAGUGGGGAAUAUUGGACAAUGGGGGGAACCCUGAUCCAGCCAUGCCGCGUGUGUGAAGAAGGCCUUAUGGUUGUAAAGCACUUUAAGUGAGGAGGAGGCUACUGAGACUAAUACUCUUGGAUAGUGGACGUUACUCGCAGAAUAAGCACCGGCUAACUCUGUGCCAGCAGCCGCGGUAAUACAGAGGGUGCGAGCGUUAAUCGGAUUUACUGGGCGUAAAGCGUGCGUAGGCGGCUUUUUAAGUCGGAUGUGAAAUCCCCGAGCUUAACUUGGGAAUUGCAUUCGAUACUGGGAAGCUAGAGUAUGGGAGAGGAUGGUAGAAUUCCAGGUGUAGCGGUGAAAUGCGUAGAGAUCUGGAGGAAUACCGAUGGCGAAGGCAGCCAUCUGGCCUAAUACUGACGCUGAGGUACGAAAGCAUGGGGAGCAAACAGGAUUAGAUACCCUGGUAGUCCAUGCCGUAAACGAUGUCUACUAGCCGUUGGGGCCUUUGAGGCU
rnacentral:rRNA from 1 species